CUGCUGCCUCCCGUAGGAGUCUGGGCCGUAUCUCAGUCCCAAUGUGGCCGAUCGACCUCUCAGUCCGGCUACCCAUCGCAGGCACGGUGAGCCACUACCUCACCGUCUACCUAAUGGGCCGCGACCCCAUCUCAUGCCGCGAAAGCUUUCCUUGCAUCUCCAUGCGAAGUUGCAAGAGUAUCCGGUAUUAGCUGCCGGUUCCAGCAGUUAUCCCGAUGCAUGAGGCAGGUUGGU
rnacentral:rRNA from 1 species